GGGGGAAAUGAGUCUUGGUAGGGCAUGGUGGAGAAGAGCGUUGAAAUGCUCACAAAGAAGGUUCCGAGCUCUUUUCCAUAAAUAAUGGGAAUUCUAAAGGAGGGAAUGGUACUUGUGCAAGGAAUUAUGAUUUCCAUUUUUUACAAAUUUCAAAAUACAGGCUCAGAGUGAGCCAGCAAACUGCCCAAAGCCUCUGUAAGCCCUUGUCAGUCCAAGCCUGUGUCCCUGUGAGCCAGUCAACUGACACAAGAAACUAACUAUUACAGUCUCACAGCUAUAAAGUGGCCCGGCUGGGGUUGGAACCCAGGUCGGUCUGACUCACAAACUCUUCGCUGCAGCAGCCACUGGGCAGAGAUCCGCAGGGCUCUCCUUUCCCAGCCUGGACUCCAGCCCUAUGCCAGCUGGAGAGAAGCCACCAGUCACCAGCCGGGUUAGGCUGUGGGCCAGUCAGAUAGCCCAGCCGAGCUUGGGAAGGAGCUAACCAGUAGCUUCUCUGCUUUAGGCAAAAGGCUUUACACAGCCUGAGGAGGAGAGGCCUUCCCCGCAGGCCUGAGGCCCUUAGGCGCGCGGCACAGAGGACCCAGCCUAGCCUCUCCAGCUGCAGCACACCAGCCCAGAAGGUACCAGGAGCCCCUCUUACGCUCCCCUGCCGCACGGGCCCACGGCGUGGGGGGCGGGCCUCCGACAGUGAGAGUAACCCGCGCAGCAGCCCCUGGAUCCCCGCUGCCAGCCUGCGGGCGUGGGGGCAGUGACUACGGCCCGCAGGCCGGUUUACAGAUAAGGAAGCCCGGGGCAGGGAGGGAGCUGGGGUAAGGCGGCUUUUCCUUCUGACUCAGCUCUCUGCCACUCCUAAAGGUCUAACUCGACGCUGUCAGGUAUCAGCUUUCGCUUUUGCUUUCGGAGGUUUUCUUGGAGGUUGCCCAGGAGAGAGUUCAGACUGAAUCAUGCCGAAGCGGGAGGGGUUCCUCGGGAUAGGGGGAGAUUGGAGCGGGGACCGAGACCGGUGCCAAC
rnacentral:lncRNA from 12 species